rnacentral:rRNA from 1 species
AGAGUUUGAUCAUGGCUCAGGAUGAACGCUAGCUGGAGGCUUAAUACAUGCAAGUCGAGCGGGAUUGGUAGCAAUACCAUGAGAGCGGCGCACGGGUGAGUAACGCGUACACGACCUACCUCUGACAGGGGGAUAGCCCUGGGAAACUGGGAUUAAUACCGCAUAUUAUUCUGAUUAAUAAAGGAUUGGAAUGAAAGUUCAGGCGGUCAGAGAUGGGUGUGCGUCUGAUUAGCUAGUUGGUAGGGUAAUGGCCUACCAAGGCGAUGAUCAGUAGGGGGCGUGAGAGCGUGAUCCCCCACACGGGUACUGAGACACGGACCCGACUCCUACGGGAGGCAGCAGUAAGGAAUAUUGGACAAUGGCCGCAAGGCUGAUCCAGCCAUCCAGCGUGCAGGAAGAAGGCCCUAUGGGUUGUAAACUGCUUUUAUCAGGGAAGAAACCUGUGGAUUCACUCCGCAGCUGACGGUACCUGAAGAAUAAGCACCGGCUAACUCCGUGCCAGCCGCCGCGGUAAUAC